GGCAUCUGCACCCAUUGAGCAUGUGCAUGUCCAUGUGUACGUGCUCCUACUACUGCUCUCAGAGCAGAAACGUUUCCCGUCUACGUGAAGUGGUGCGUCACGCAUGACGCAUUGGACUGUUUGUAGCGUGUGUGUGCGCGCGCGUGUGAGCGUGUGUACGUGUGUUUCUUCCUUCAUUUUCUUCGCCAGUUUUGCGGGGCCUUUUUGACCCCAUCGGCACUCCCCCCACUAUCACCACCACCCACCCCCUCGGCAACACCUGAGCUGAAGCAUCACUGUGCAACCUUUUUUGUUUUUUGUUUGUUUUUUCAUCUUCGUUGACCUCUCACCGUCCUUCCGACUUCCCAGCCCGCCCGCCCCCCCCCCACCAUCAGCAUCGCAUUCUACCUCGCCUUCCACUCGAUCGGCUUCUUUGGCUAGUUGGUUGGUGGUAUUUCCUCGUCGAUAGAUCACACUCUUUUUCUCUUCCUCACACGUCUCCGUCGGAACUGUGGAUCAUGAGGCGCUAUCAACAUCUUCGUGAUGUGCAUCCGAGGCCCUACAGUAAUGGCCGUGAGAGAGGGCAUGAGGUGGGCCUAGCGAGAAGGUGCCAGCGCGAUGGAGAGCACCUGUGUAGCGGCAGCGCACGAAAUAGCUGUAGGAGUAGCGGCGGUAGCGAGGAUGAAGUAGGAAGGUGGUGUGGCGCUGCGAUGGUCGCGACCGCCCCUACACCCCGUCGCACCUUGAACACCUCGAAGAGAGCUGAAAAUCCUCGUGGGGCCACCGGUACUGUUCUCUCACCCCAUGUGAGUUUCUCCCCGAUCUCCUUCCAUUCUGCGCAGGCCUCCGCGAUUACAUAUGGAGCGGCAGAGACGACCAAGGCAACUGUGUCGUCUGCCUCGGCGCCUAAAGCCUUCUACGACGGGCCCUCCUUGCGCGACAGCAUCCCGGCGCUGUUGGCGCGGCUUGCCAACCCGGUAACGCUGUCGCCGUCGCGUGCCCCCGAGAGCACGCGCUUGUUCGAGCCGGCAGCGAAAGAAGACACGUUGCAGCGAGACGCCUCAUCCCUGUCGGCGCACCCGAUAGUUACACCACGGUGGAGUGGCUCCAAGCAUUCCGGCGUGUCGGGUGGUGCCGUUUCCACUACCGGGCAAAGGAAAGCGAUGAAUGCCGAGGCAUCAAAUCGCUCCUCGGGGUCGUCGUCGGAUGAAUUCCCACAGGGCACCACACACCCGGAGCGGGCUCAAGGGGGUCGCUACGAAGUGCGACAACCGAACGCGAAGGGAAAGAUGAAUCGGGGCAUGAUUGCCCGCGCCGAGGUACAGAGCGCUUACCCAGAUGCGCUGCCGUCAGCAGCAACCGUGUUUUCGGAAAGCACGCAGCAGCGUCGCGUGGUAAUGCCCCCGACGAGGUACGUAGUAGUGCAGCGGCCCGCCGCCGCCCACAUCUUACCGCAUGCAUCAGAGGCUUCAACACGGAUGGAUGCGACCACUGUAGCUCCCGAAUCAGCAGCUCGGCAUUCGGUUGAGUUGACGUCACGCUGUUGCUCUGCUACCUCGUCCCACGGCAACGCAGAGGAGACUUGUGAUGUGUGCAGCGCCAGUGUAGCCAGUAGCAACAUCAGUUUAAGUCGCCCUGCGAGUCGACGACCGCGCGCCUCGCCUCUCCGAAGGAGGCCAAGCCGCUCCGGUAGUGCCGAAGCUGUCGCUGGGCGGAAACGUGCGAUCGGACCCAUAGCCGCUCCAGUCGCCGCCACACGCGAGUCCCUUCUUGAAGCCAGCAAGGAGGCCCCGAGCGCUGUGUCUGAGCAGCCACCGCCGCCGCGAAUCAUGCCAUCGCCCUCGAUGAACUCGACAAGCGACGUCACCCAGCACCGCGCAUCACCGUCCCGAAUGCAGGGCCUCUUCGACUUCGUCCUAAGCAGCAGCAGUAACAGCGGCGCCGGAGUCGAGUACAACUCACUUAAUACUUCCUGUGAGUGGGCAAAGACGUCUCCCGGGUGCGCGGAAGGAGUGUCCGCCCGCGCUGCAGGCCUUCCCCCGCGCGAGCAGAAGCGCUCGCACACUAUCGCGUCACCGUUUUCGCUGCUGAAGCCGAUGGAAGGUGUUUUCGCACCGUCGCAUGGCGCCUUGUACCGGGAUGAGAGCGUCGCGCCUGUGGACCCUUUCGCAGCCGCCGUUCAAAAGGCAGGGGACCCGUUGGUGUUGCGGCACACCAUCGACUACCUCCUCUCGAAGGCUCGCCGCCUGGAGAGGGAGAAUCAGCGCUUGUGGUGGCAGGCGCACAGCUGGGAUCCACAUAGGGCCGUUGAACCUCACGAGGCUCGUCCUGUCGCUGUGCCUCUGGCCCACCGGCGUUUGCGCAAGUCCUCCUCGCCGGCAGAAGUGGUGACUCGUACCCCGUACGCCAUAACUUCCCAAGCAGUAGCCUUCACUCAGACCCAGCACCCACCUGCGUCUAAGCCGCGCGUGUUCGUGAAGCGGCAGCCGCGCCUUUCGCAAGCAACUGGUCGCUCUGCAUCCUGCACCUCGACGUCCUUCCUCUCUCGAGAAAGCCCCCGACACAGCAGCAGUGGCGAAGGAGCUGACGCAGAAGAACAUGUGAGGGCAAAUCCAGGCGCUCACCUGUGCACCGCGGCAGCAGACACACCAGCCCCACCGAGCACCGAGUCAACUGAAACAACGGCAACAUCGGCCGUGUCGCGCACCGAAGCGGGAGUUCAGUGCCGCCCAGCCGCGCGAGAUGCGGCAACAGACGCAAGAGAACAUCGAUCGCCAGUGCACUUCGGGCUAGCCAGCAUGGCAGAGACGGCCGGUGCCUCGACGGAAUCGCAGCAGCGUGUGUCCUCCUCGUCACAUGCAGACGCAAGCGCGCAGACAGAGCUCGUAGCACCGUUAACGUCGGCACUUCUCCGGACGCCGGAAGCGCGCCAUCAAGCGCUGCAUCACAGGUUACAAGGAACGGCCAGUGGGGACGGCAAGGGCGACGCUGCGGCCACCCCGAUAGCAUCGACCGUGCGCAGCCGUCACAGCAUCUACAGCGAGCGUUCGCUGGGAGUGAUGGCAACAGACGCCACGUCGCUGCCACCAUUCCCGGUGCAGAAGCAGCAGGGUCGAAGCCUCAGCAGCUGUAGCAGUCAAGCACACGUGAGAGGAACAAGUCAGGCAAGCGGAUCUUCCGCGCCACAUGGUCAUUAUCCGACCUACAGUAAACAGGUCCAGACAGCGAGCAUCCAAUUGCCCUCUUUAGGCGAGGUCGAGGAUGCGGGAGGAGGGGGCGGUGGCGGCGAUACCUUGAUGGUCUCGACAAUGGAUGGCACUACGUCGGCGCUGUCCUCGGAGAGGACAGCGGUGAUUGAGCUGCACACGUCGCCCUCCUACACACGGAACACCGUGCGCCGUCUGCGAGAGUACUGCAACUCUCUGGAGGCGGCCCGCCAGCAGCUGCGCCGGCGCCUAUCAAGAAGUGUGCCUAACAGCCACGAUGUCUCGGCCGUAGCACUGUCGCGCGCGCGAUCGCCGUCAAGCCUUUCGCACUCGCACGGCCAGGUUCCGCUGUCCCCGCUAACUACCGCGGCCCCCACCAUCAGCCGUCCCUUCUUCACCUCCGAGUACGUCGACCCGGAGGUCGACGCCACCUUGCAGGACGUUGGAGAGACGACUGCCCUGGAGACUAUGAUCGUGUUGCAUGAGGAUGGCGCCGGCACCAUCACAAAGCGCGUGAUCGACGGCUCCCAGUCGUGCGUCUCGAGCUUCGCGGUGCGCUCCCCUUCGCCCCCAUCACAGCGCCCGGCAGCCACAAUGACCUCCUCGCUGGCCAGCCAGUCUCCAACCCCGGUCGUGGAGAAUGCCAUAUCGUGGGUUCGCCGGUACUCGCCACGGGCCCCGUGUCGCAUGAAGCCUCAGCAGCUCCUUUCGCACUACCUGCGGGGCACUCAUGAUACUGCGGUCAUCGCAGAGGAGCCGCGCGCGCGCCGGCUGAGCUCCUCUCUGCGUUCCGACGGCAGCAGCUCAUGCUGUGUGCCGGUGGUGCAUUUGGGCAAGCCCAUGCGAUCCGCCUCCGCCAGUUCACGGAACGCCUCCGACGUCAACAUCCACUUCCCGGGCGCCGUGCCGCUCGCCCCGUCUCUCCCCAAGUCGCCACCGAAGCAAGCUCCGUCCACCGGACGCUUUGUCGUGCCGCCCACCACGCCGCUCGAGGAGGGUGAUGCGGAGCAGCUACCACCACAGUCGCUGCCACCGCGGCCGCACAAUCACCAGACUCAUGCAGGUGCAUCGGUGUCGGUCUCCCUAGCAGGGUGCACUGCACCUGGGCAGUUUGCCGGGCUGCAGAUUGGCGUCACCAGCAGCACAACGAGAACGAGCAGCAGGGUCAACUCUCAGCGUUUUGCAGUGAAGGGAGUCCGCGAGUCUGUGUCGCCGAAUGAGCACAGCACGCGUAUCCGAAGCAAGAGUGGCCGCGGCAGUGUCGGCUCUGAGGCACUUGUAUCAGGAAAGCAGACCACUUCUUCGGCUUCGGCCGCCGCAGCCUCAGCACCUCUGUGGGAUCCCACGCGCCACUCAUUGCAAAGCCCAAGCCCGGUCAUGCUCUCGACUUCUACUGAAACAUCCGUAGCUGCUGAACUGGUGGUAAGCGACCGCCUCGGCACUCCCGUUACUACGUCCGGCAGCGAGGCGGGAGUGCGUGGCGCAUCGAAUGACAGCGUGCACGGGUCACGGCCCAUAGGCACAUCACUCAUCACCGCUGUAGCCAGCGCGAGCCUGUCUGCUCUGAGUGCACCAGCGCCGGACAGCGAGGAGCCCCUGCCACCGGCUGAGACCGCAGUGCAGCCGCACAUCCGCAGCCCCCUGUGCCGCCUACACCUCGAAGCGCAAGCCGUCCGCUGCGGUCGCGGCGGCAGCGGCGACCGACGCGAUCUUUACACAGACAGCCUCCACGUCAGCGGGUCUGCCUCGCCGGCGCCGAGCACACCGCGAGGCUCUGAGGAAAACAGCGGUGGCCGAUGCAAGCGGAGCGAGACUACAGCAUUCCUGGACGAGGAGAAACGAGAAGCAUCAGCAGUGUCGUCUGCAGGGGCACGUCGCGUGUCGGUGCAACUACCAGUGCUUGAGAACGACGUGGUGUCAGCGGAUGGGGCCGACAGCUUCCAUUCCACAGAUGCUGCAGUGUCGCCGCGUAGCAGCGCCGAGAGGGUCGUUAACCUCCUUUUGCCAGCCCAGCUGGAGGGGUCGCUACUACCGCAGCCGCAACGCCCCACCUCCCAACGGCUUAUCUCACCCUCUCCUCCUCGAGGGGUAGACGCGGACGACAAUGCGCAGAAUCCUCGUGAUGGCAAUACAGACUUGAAGGCUAUCUCUGCGGAAUCAAUACCGAAGGAUGCGGGCAUCGACUCUACGUCGCCGCGACGCCACCUUGUGUUGCCGCAGCACCGCCCACCGGUCGCCCCGCCUCGCGUCGUCGUCAUCCCAAAGAACGACGAGUCUCCUUCUCCCGCUCGCAGCAGCCUGUCACGCAGCCUGCACUCCCUUCCCUCAACCCUCUCAGACAGGCAUUGCGAUGAUGCUUCUGAUGAUGGAGAUGACGAAGAUGGGGCACUUUGGUACUCAGAACGGUUUUGAGUGGAGAGGCGGUAGAAGGAGGAGGGGGGGCUGCGGGCCGCCGUGUGCUUCCCCUACGGUCAGUCAAGAUACAAACAGAGAAGUGGAGAUGAGGAUGCCGCGAGGGAUGUAGAACGGCGGUUUUCAAUUUUGCCAACCCCUGUCUUUCCGGCAGCCGCACUGUGCAUGUGUGUGUGUGUGUGUGUGUGUAUGUACUCAGCCUUUCUCCGGGCUAUUCACCAACGUGCAGCUGUCAGUUGCUCUGUACUCUUUCGCCUUGCCUAACUGCUUUAGAGAGUCGAGGACGAAUUCGGCAGCUGGGCUUUCUACACAACUCAGACACACACACGCACGUCAGCACGCUCCUACUGGUCUCUCUGUAUCACCAGCUCUGAGGUAGGGAUGAUGAAGCCUCCAGUCAGAAAUGCGCAGAGAGGCGUGGGGCCCAGUUUUGCGCCCACUCAAGCGCUGAGCAUGUGCAUACCUGCGUUCAACGGCGCACAUGAGCGCAUUGUGGACGCGAAGCAAAAAAAUAGAUGAGCCGCUGUACAUGGCGCGCCACUUCCUCGUGCGAGCUCGUUGGCCGCACGAGAGGGGUCUCAGAAGGCUCAGCACCCAAUACGCUGAUGCUGCACGCAUAGCGGCGCAUUUCCCCAUGAGCUCCUCCGUGCGCACGACCAGCCCGCUCAGCACGAGCCGCUCUCAAUUUCCUUUGCAGCCAAGAUCUAUUCCCCCUCUCCCUGAUGCAGCUUAGUCGGUAUCACCACCGCCAGCAAAGGCCACUUCGUCAGUUUUUUUCGUAGAGUAGCCAAUGUGUGGACCGGUGUGACGAAUCAUAGGUGUGAUGUGUAUCACGUGGUGUACACCUGCGCAACUCCCAUCUCUCGCUCUCUCUUGCUUGCCCCACAG
rnacentral:misc_RNA from 1 species